ensembl:misc_RNA Metazoa_SRP Metazoan signal recognition particle RNA
GCUGGGUGUGGUGGCAUGUGCCUGUAAUCCUAGUAACUUGGGAGGCUGAGGCAGGAGGAUCGCUUGAGCCCAGAAGUUGGAGGCUGCAGUGAGCUAUGAUCAUGCUAUUGCACUCCCAUCUGGGCAACAAAGCAAGAUCCUGUCUCAA